rnacentral:rRNA from 1 species
GAUGAACGCUGGCGGCGUGCCUAAUACAUGCAGGUCGAGCGAACGGACGAGAAGCUUGCUUCUCUGAUGUUAGCGGCGGACGGGUGAGUAACACGUGGAUAACCUACCUAUAAGACUGGGAUAACUUCGGAAAACCGGAGCUAAUACCGGAUAAUAUUUUGAACCGCAUGGUUCAAAAGUGAAAGACGGUCUUGCUGUCACUUAUAGAUGGAUCCGCGCUGCAUUAGCUAGUUGGUAAGGUAACGGCUUACCAAGGCAACGAUGCAUAGCCGACCUGAGAGGGUGAUCGGCCACACUGGAACUGAGACACGGUCCAGACUCCUACGGGAGGCAGCAGUAGGGAAUCUUCCGCAAUGGGCGAAAGCCUGACGGAGCAACGCCGCGUGAGUGAUGAAGGUCUUCGGAUCGUAAAACUCUGUUAUUAGGGAAGAACAUAUGUGUAAGUAACUGUGCACAUCUUGACGGUACCUAAUCAGAAAGCCACGGCUAACUACG